GACUGAUUCAUGUAGCCUCAUGAGAUUGUAAUUCUAGUCUAAAAUGUUAUGUUUUUUUGAUUAGGUGUGUUUAUCGAGGGAUUCAGGAAGACCUGUGAGGGCCCUAAUCCAAAUUAUAAGCUGAGUGAAAAUUGUGCCUCAAAGGUCAAGAGGGUGACGCAAUUUUUAAACUACAUGGCGAAGAAUGAGACCUACCAGUCCUCUCUCAUUUUCCUGACAGACCAUGACAAAAUAAGGAAAUGGGUUCAAUUCCUCCAGAAGAACAAGGCAAUCACCACAGUCAACCACUACACCUUGACUAUUGGUGCAUUUCUUAAAUAUUCUGAGGAGACCCCUCCAUCUGGCUGCCGGCUGACCGUGAACCAAUGGAGGGGGAUCAACCGGUUGAUGAAGGGCAUUAGCAAGUCCAUGAGACGACCAGUUUCCCUUCACCAGAUAAAGGUGAAGGACAACAAGGAAGGCAAGGUGGUGUCCAAAAAGAGCCUGCUGCAGUGCCAGUCUCUUGCCAAGGCCAAAAUCCCUCAAGUGCUGAGUAAGUUUUUCUCAAUCUGUGAUGUCACUGUUUUUACACACUUAUAGACGUCAGAGAUGUAUAGAAUGCAUUAUGGAGUGGGAUUAUGAAGCUGCCUUUUUUUAUUUUCAUGUUCACAGAAACAUUGGAAGAAACAAGGACACAGAGGAAUCAGUACAGGUUUUAUGGGUACCUGUGUGCCUACUUUACAUCCAUAUACGGCCACAGACCAGGCCUAUAUAAAAACAUGUUGGUGAAAGAGGUGGAGGAGGCAAAAUGUGACCAGUCUGGGGUGUACCUGAUCAAUGUAAGUCUAUGAAAUACAGCUGGCUGUGUUUAUUUGUUUGUUUGCUUGGUUGGUUAUCUUUGGAAACAAUUGCAGUCGCAGGAGCGUAAUGUGUUUUUUUGUGUUUUUUCUCUGUUCAAUUUCUAUUAGGUGGGGGAACACAAAACAAAUCGGGAGUACGGCAUGGUCCAGAUGUCGCUGACAAAGGAGGAGUACAGCUGGUUUUCCGACUUCCUCAAAUUCAAGCACUGUCUCUUAGGGGGAAAGAAGGCCCAGCACUUCUUUUUCAAUUCAACAAACACUCAGAUGAAGAACCUGCCUGCCUACCUGAGGGAGGUGUGGAAGGAGAUGGGUCUGCCCGAAUGUCCUUCAUUCACUGACCUGAGGACCUCCAUUGUCACUCAUGUAGGUCAGAUUAGAUAGGAAUCUAAUUAAUGUAAGAUCCUAUUCUAUUGUUGUCUGAAGUAAUAUCAAUAAUAACAUAUAUUUGUGUGUGUGUGUGUGUGUGUGUCUUACAGGUAAAAAACAUGCUCCCAAAGGUUGACAGGGAAAGGGUGGCCAACUUCAUGUGCCACAACAUCCAGACGGCAGACAAAUAUUAUGCCAUGAAUUUAAAUCCAACCCAAGCAAAUGAAACCAGGGCACUCUUUGAGGCUGCACUGAAGGGGGAAGAUAACACAGUCGCCGCAGAGAACCAGCCCUCCACCUCAGGAGAAAGAAAGCAGAAGGUGAGAGAGGAUGCCUCCCUCUCCGACGGGAGCACCACCCCUGAAGAGACCAAGGUGAUGUACCAGGAGUCUGGCACGUCCGCCGGUGACUCGGAAGAGGAGGAAGAGGAUGAAGAUGAGGAACAGAUGGCCAGACAACUUCCAGUAAGAUCAGCUAUUCUGACAGGACACAUUUGAUUAUCAAAAUGUACUUGUAAACUAUGUAACAGUCAAGUGUGAAUUCUGAGAUAUAUCUAAUUUCUUGUGUUUGCUCUGUCAGGAGACACCUUCCAAGGUGACCAAUCCUCAGGUGGAGAUGGAACUUACCCCAAAGAGGAAGCGGAGCAUCUGCACACGCCGCAUGGAGGUCGCCAUCAGCCCCAUGCUAGUCUCACCGCUCAAAGUGAGGCUCAAGUCGCCCCCCCACCAGUCCCUCAUUGUCACAUUAAAAGGGAUGCAACAACUAAACUCAAAUAAAGUCAGACUAAAAAAUGCCAUUGCCUCAAGGAGGUUAAAGCUGCAGGAGAAGGUGCAAAAGAGAGGAGGGGACCCCUGAUGCAGCUCGAAGGAAGGGGAGCCGACCAACAACAAGACUUCCUCUUCCAAAUAGUCAUGUAGAUUGUUUUAGACUCUCACAUUUAUACUGUUCUGAUUUUGUUUGGUUUGAUUUUCAAUUUUGGUGUGCUUGUUUACAUUUUAGAAGUGUAAAAUGUGUGUAAUUUAGUCUAACUGUCUGUUCAAUUUUCUAUUUUGGUGUGAUUCUUUAUAAUGUAAAGGUUUGUUCUGUUUUAUUAAAUAACUAGUUUAGUAAUUAUUUGUGUUGUGCUUUCUUUAAGGUUAUAUUCUAACUGUCUGUUCAAUUU
rnacentral:lncRNA from 1 species